GCAUUAAUGGGGUAGUGGUAACCUGGGUCGUUGCCAUAGCGGGACCCAGAAGGUUUCGACCCGCCGGGGGUUCGAUUCCCUCUUAAUGCA